rnacentral:tRNA from 1 species
GCAGGUAUAGCUUAGUGGUUGAGCCUGUGCUUAGCAUGCACGAGGUCCUGGGUUCAAUCCCCAGUACCUCCA